rnacentral:rRNA from 1 species
GCCCGAAUCCUGACACAGGGAGGUAGUGACAAGAAAUAACAAUACAGGGCUACUUCUAGUCUUGUAAUUGGAAUGAGUACAACUUACAUCUCUUCACGAGGAUCAACUGGAGGGCAAGUCUGGUGCCAGCAGCCGCGGUAAUUCCAGCUCCAGAAGCGUAUAUUAAAGUUGUUGCAGUUAAAACGCUCGUAGUCGGGUUUCGGGUCGGGCCGAGCGGUCUGCCGAUGGGUAUGCACUGUUUGGCGCGGCCUUCUUUCCGGAGACCGCGGCUACUCUUAACUGAGCGGGCGUGGGAGACGGAUCGUUUACUUUGAAAAAAUCAGAGUGUUUCAAGCAGGCAGCUCGCUCUUGCAUGGUACAGCAUGGGAUGAUUGAAUAGGACUCCGGUGCUAUUUUGUUGGUUUCGAACACCAGGAGUAAUGAUUAACAGGGACAGUCAGGGGCACUCGUAUUCCGUCGAGAGAGGUGAAAUUCUCAGACCAAUGGAAGACGAACCACUGCGAAAGCAUUUGCCAGGGAUGUUUUCACUGAUCAAGAACGAAAGUUAGGGGAUCGAAGACGAUCAGAUACCGUCGUAGUCUUAACCAUAAACCAUGCCGACUAGGGAUUGGAGGGUGUUCGUUUCGACCUCUUCAGCACCUUACGGGAAACUAAAGUCUUUGGGUUCCGGGGGGAGUAUGGUCGCAAGGCUGAAACUUAAAGGAAUUGACGGAAGGGCACCACCAGGAGUGGAGCCUGCGGCUUAAUUUGACUCAACACGGGGAAACUUACCAGGUCCAGACAUUGUUAGGAUUGACAGAUUGAGAGCUCUUUCUUGAUU